rnacentral:rRNA from 1 species
CCUACGGGGGGCUGUAGUGAGGAAUAUUGGUCAAUGGACGAGAGUCUGAACCAGCCAAGUAGCGUGAAGGAUGACUGCCCUAUGGGUUGUAAACUUCUUUUAUAUGGGAAUAAAAUGUUCCACGUGUGGGAUUUUGUAUGUACCAUAUGAAUAAGGAUCGGCUAACUCCGUGCCAGCAGCAGCGGUAAUACGGAGGAUCCGAGCGUUAUCCGGAUUUAUUGGGUUUAAAGGGAGCGUAGGUGGAUUGUUAAGUCAGUUGUGAAAGUUUGCGGCUCAACCGUAAAAUUGCAGUUGAAACUGGCAGUCUUGAGUACAGUAGAGGUGGGCGGAAUUCGUGGUGUAGCGGUGAAAUGCUUAGAUAUCACGAAGAACUCCGAUUGCGAAGGCAGUUCACUGGACUGCAACUGACACUGAGGUUCGAAAGUGUGGGUAUCAAACAGGAUUAGAUACCCGGGUAGUC